UACGGGGGGGGCAAGCGUUGUUCGGAAUUACUGGGCGUAAAGGGCGCGUAGGCGGCCUUCUAAGUCGGACGUGAAAUCCCUCGGCUCAACCGAGGAACUGCGUCCGAUACUGAAAGGCUUGAAUCCGGGAGAGGGAUGUGGAAUUCCAGGUGUAGCGGUGAAAUGCGUAGAUAUCUGGAGGAACACCGGUGGCGAAGGCGGCAUCCUGGACCGGCAUUGACGCUGAGGCGCGAAAGCCAGGGGAGCAAACGGG
rnacentral:rRNA from 1 species